rnacentral:rRNA from 1 species
AGGGUUCGAUUCUGGCUCAGGAUGAACGCUAGCGGCAGGCCUAAUACAUGCAAGUCGGACGGGAUCCGGCCUUUCGGGGCCGGUGAGAGUGGCGGACGGGUGCGUAACGCGUAUGCAACCCACCCUGUCCCGGCGGGUAGCCGGUGGAAACGCCGGGUAAUCCGCCAUGCGCCCUGGGGGGCAUCCCCCUUGGGUGAAAGCGGCGACGCGGGACGGGACGGGCAUGCGUCCCAUUAGGUAGUCGGCGGGUGACGGCCCACCGAGCCCACGAUGGGUAGGGGAUCUGAGAGGACGGUCCCCCACACUGGCACUGAGACACGGGCCAGACUCCUGCGGGAGGCAGCAGUAGGGGAUAUUGGGCAAUGGGGGCAACCCUGACCCAGCCAUGCCGCGUGAAGGGAAUGAGGCCCUACGGGUCGUGAACCUCUUUUGACCGGGGACAAUGUCCCGCACGAGAUGCGGGAUUGAGGGUACCGGUGGAAUAAGCAUCGGCUAACUCCGUGCCAGCCGCUGC